rnacentral:lncRNA from 1 species
CAGAACGGUAACAGGCCUGAAUGGCAAUGGCGGCUACUAGCGCAGCUACCAUUCGCCGCCAUGCGUCCGUUGACAGGUUGGAAUAGAUGGUGCCAGUGGUAGCAUCCAUCCUUUCACCUGUGUGCGUCGGUGAUGGGGUUUGCGGGUGCGUGGUGAGAGAGGGGGACAGGUGCACGCUAUCAUGAACCAGGCUAAAUUCGUAAUAAUUCGCCCCCCAUGCGCCACAAACCCCACCCAACCUGAAACCCCUUAGUUCCCCAGAUCCAUUUCCACGUCUGAAGGCGGGUUCGUGUGUCGGUUGUGACAGAGCGAGGUGAGCCCGAGCGCGAAGCCCAGCUGGCGCUACAACCUUUGGGUCAAAAGUCAACGAUAGCCGCUGCGGGCCAGGCGCGUGGCCUCGCUGGGUCGCUGGUUGCACCCAGCAUGGCGUUUCGCAAGCUUAACUGGUUUUGGUUGCAAGUUCCUUCGCGGCGAUGCUCCAAUUGCGCCCUAUGCACUGGUUGCAGGUCGUCGGCGGUGUUCCGGCGUCAUGCUUCCGUGGCAAAAUGUAUGAUGCGCUCCGGUCAUCGAGUCGCAUGUGCCGGAGGGACCAAUAGCAGGCAGCGCAGCUUAGAAUUGCAAUCGGUGAGUAUAUGUAGACAGCCACUACUAACGUGUAUCAUUAGCGACCAGUCAUACUUGUGGCGCGUCGGCACGCCGCACGCGUGCCCGCCGUCACUCACCCCAAAGGGGUCUGUUCCCGACACUCGCGCCAGCCGUACCGAUGCGCCAGCAUUUCGCGCAACCAUACCAUCUGACGGAGCGCUAUGCGCAAUCAUCGCUUACCGAAUGCCGGCUCAGGUUCCUAUCCGCAACUGCUCCAUCCCCACUAAGUUACGGUACUCACUUCCCCUCCUUCACACCCUUUCCUGCCUGCCUCCACCCUCAGCGAAACUUCUUGGCCGGCCAGUGCCCGCCCGCCUUCAGCACCGCCGGCAACGUGUGUGCCAGCAUCCGCUUCAUACAGUCACGCACAAACUGUGGCGUGAUGACCUUCUGAACCACCUUCUCCAUCUCGUCCAGGUAGGGCUGCAGGGGGUCCUCGCCAGCCUCGGUGGGCCGCCGUGCGUUGCAGAACUGCCGCAUGACGAGGGCAACGGCCGCGUGCGACUGCUCCACUGGGCAGUGCAUGUCGCCGCUGUACGUGGGAAGCUUCAUGAAAUUGGCCUUAGUGACGCCCACACCACGGAAGUCAGCAAUCUCGCCGUUGCCGUGGCAUGCCGGGUUGUCCCAUGACACGUAGGGCUUGAUAGGGGCCACGGGCGGGGGUGGCGGCGGCUUCCUCUUACCCCGCCGGCCCUGCUUCUGCGCGGCCUUCACCGCCGCGGUUUGCUUUGCAGCCAGCCUUGCAGCCUUCUCCCGGAACGCGCCCAGCAUGCGCCCUAUGUACUUAACAAACUCCGCCUUCGUGAUGAACCUUGCAUCCUUCCCCGCCAGGGUCUGCGGUGGUGACAGGCAGUGGCGGGCGGCAGCUUGAGCAUGGCGCGUGGAGGACACAACCGGCGGCGCUUCCCACCCUCUGUGGCAGCGCGAUACAGCCCCCUGAACCGGGAGCCGCUAAACGCACGGGGGACAGAUGACCGGCGGCCCGUGCUGUGGAGGCUGCAGUGUGGGUGCUUUGUCUACAAGGCACGGCACACAGUGGCUAACAGUAUUCGGCGAUGUGCCCCGCACGCACCCAGCUGCUUCAACUGCACCUAUCACACCUCCGGCCGAGGUGCAAGUGAGGCCGCACAGCGCGCGUUUCGCAUGCUGAUUGACCUUGCGCGGCGGCUGGGGGAGGCGUGUACGGUGGUGUGGGAGGCGCGGGUGGUUGAGGGGUGUGGCCCCUUCGACUUUUGGCUGUGGGAGUGGGGUGUGGUGGUUGAAGUGGAUGGCAUGCAGCACACGGAUACCCCGCAUCACGGCACGGAAGCGCAAGCACAGUGGCUGGUGGAUCGGUGGAAGGAAGCAGCUGCUGUUCGCAAGCGGCUGCAUGUGGCGCGGUUGCAUGUGAUGGACAUGGUGUGCUGGGAGGCCGUGGUUGCGCGUGCACUGUGUGCUGCUCGUAACGGCAUUCCGCCGUGCGUGCACUACAGCGACUACUACCUGCGGCCUGUGAUUACACAGUCAUGAGCUCCCAACGCACCUGGUACUGUAGCUCGGGUGGCGGCGUGUAGGCCCUGCCUGUGGUGCCGGCAACAGGCUCCCAUCGCACGACGCCGAAGGCAGGGCACACGGUGAUGAUGUACUUGAUGGUGUUGGGUCGUGAUGAUCCGCAGCGGUAGUCCUCAAUGGUGAUGCUCUGCCCGCGCGGGCCUGCAGUCCAGGCGGUGUAGUCGGUUGGGUUGCAGAUGAAGGUCUUUUCGUCGGUCAUGGCGAAACCGUUGAAGAUGGUUAAGUUGAGCCAUGCGUCGCUUUCAAACUCCGCUGUGCCAAUGUCUGGUGGCAAGGGAAAGGCGCCAUCGCUGACACCGUACUCCCUUUCAGCCUCCACGGCUGAGACCAUCUUCACGCCUGGAGCAUUGGGGUUGACAAGCUUGCGCAACCACGCUGCUGAGCGGUCCAGCCGGUCACCCCACUGCUCGGGGCUGAGGAAGGGGCGGUGCUCCACCUUUAAGUUCUUUUGGAGGGUUGGAUCGUAGUGUUGCAUGGAGCGCCACAGGGAUUUGAAAGUGAUCUUGUGGGAUUUGAGAACGUCUUGAAAGGGCGCGUCGUGCUCGUACUUGGCGGCAGAGUCAUAGUGGACGCUCUUGACGUGGUCGACCAGGGUUUUCAGGAUGGGGUCCGACACCGUGCGCGGCCGGCCUGGGCGUGGCUUGGGCUCUGUCCCGCCAGUGUGCACGUAGCGCACGUACCACUUCUUAAUCUGCUCUGCCAUAUGCUUGGGUGAUGCCUCCCAUGGUGUGUAAUCAACUGGCUGCGGGAAGAUCUCUGGGCAUGCCUCGCGUGCCUUGAACUCCGCCACGGCAAUGGGGCCCCAGCGCUGAGGUGUGGUGCCACGUGUGGUAAGCCCAGAACGGUAACAGGCCUGAAUGGCAAUGGCGGCUACUAGCGCAGCUACCAUUCGCCGCCAUGCGUCCGUUGACAGGUUGGAAUAGAUGGUGCCAGUGGUAGCAUCCAUCCUUUCACCUGUGUGCGUCGGUGAUGGGGUUUGCGGGUGCGUGGUGAGAGAGGGGGACAGGUGCACGCUAUCAUGAACCAGGCUAAAUUCGUAAUAAUUCGCCCCCCAUGCGCCACAAACCCCACCCAACCUGAAACCCCUUAGUUCCCCAGAUCCAUUUCCACGUCACUGUGUCGCACAAUUCCGCCGACCUUUGCGCACCCCAGCAUAUGUGUGCCCGCGGUUUCCAAUGCUCUAUUGAAUGCACCAAAAGCCAGCCCAGGCCCUGCGUCCUAGGGCCCAAACGAGCUCCUCCGUACAAUGUUUGCUCGCACACUCCGGCGCACGCGAUUAGGUGUCGCGCGCUACUGUAUGGUAGCCCUUGUGUCGCACAAGUGGUUGGAGCGUGUUUGGGGUGAGUUGGCGCGGCAGGGUGGUGUCGCGCCCAUGCUGCCCCGCUUGCGGGGCUUGUUCCCGGCCGGUCUCUGAUGGCUAUGGUGUAGUCCUAUGAAUUAUCUGUGCGCGGGUUGGUGCCCGGCGAAUUUCUGUUGCAUGGGGCCUGCGCGCAUGGCGUGCCCCUCGGGGGGUAAUCGCGCUCGGAUCACAUAAGGGCCGCUCGAACUAAAAUUUGCCACUCAUACAAUAAUUACAGCUACUGUAUGUCUACUCGCCCAUGUGUAGCACGCUUGGGCGCUAGCUCGCAUUUGAGAGAACCAACACCCUUGCUCCCCCCAUUUUCGUCAAAACCAACAUUCUGCAAAUUGAUACUGUAGUUCUCACUCUGAGUAGCAGCUACGGCUGUCGUUCCCGUGGUUGAGAGCCCUUACCGUUGUGGUUCUACUGUGGAGGCAGCGGGCGUAGCGACCGGGCGCAAGCAGCCGAGCGGGCGGUGGAGAACCAGUCGCAAAAGUCUGCGGAAUUGUGGGAUCCAGUGAAGGCGGGUUCGUGUGUCGGUUGUGACAGAGCGAGGUGAGCCCGAGCGCGAAGCCCAGCUGGCGCUACAACCUUUGGGUCAAAAGUCAACGAUAGCCGCUGCGGGCCAGGCGCGUGGCCUCGCUGGGUCGCUGGUUGCACCCAGCAUGGCGUUUCGCAAGCUUAACUGGUUUUGGUUGCAAGUUCCUUCGCGGCGAUGCUCCAAUUGCGCCCUAUGCACUGGUUGCAGGUCGUCGGCGGUGUUCCGGCGUCAUGCUUCCGUGGCAAAAUGUAUGAUGCGCUCCGGUC